UUAGUAGUGGAUGUGGGCUUCCUCCCUCUGAGGGGACGUCCUGAUGGACACGAGAUGUGGGGCGCCCGUGGGUGGCCGCCUGCUCCUGCCACAGUCCCCCUUGGGGCCUGAGCUGCGGCUGCUGCCUCCGUAGGGAAGGAACAAUGGGGGAUGGGCCCGCCCCUACCCAGAGAGAGUGGGCCGUGUUGCCUGCAAGGCCUCAGCCAGGGGACCACGUUUCUCUGCAUCUUGUGGCUUUGGGUUCUGCAGGCUGUUUGUGGGAGAACGGGAAACAGUCCCAGAGAUGACGCUGCCUCAUGCAGGUUAACAGAGUUGGAGGUCAGGCCGACGCCUGAGGCUCAGGACGCUGAUGGGUGCCUUCCCUCGCCAGGGGUGAGCCCCCAGCCCCGUCUUCCCUCGCCAGGCCAUUUGGUGGAGACUCUGAGAGCCUGAACUUAGAAGCCCGCCGAGAGGGGAAAUGGCGGCCUCCGGGGAGCGGGCAGCCUGGCCGCAGAG
rnacentral:lncRNA from 1 species